UAUUAUAUUCACUCAUUUUAAAAUAUGCUUUAUCAUAUAAUUCAAUCAGCGCUUAUCGCUAUCGACCCACUAGGGUCGAUUAAUUCUUUCAAAUAUUUUUCAUUUCAGACGACGUCCUAAGCCGAGGUUCGCGCCCAACUGGGCACCCUCAGGCCUGUUGUCUUAAACGUUGUACCGGGUGAGAGCCUUCAGCGCUCCCCAUUUGUCCGGCCAAGUAGUUAAUGCCAUCUGCGGCAAAUCUACAAUAAGUCACGUCAAAAAAAAAAAAAAAAAAAAAAAACGCUUUUUUUUGAAUUCAUAGGGUGUCCAAAGUAAUUUUUCUAAGCCUCAUUAACGAACGCUGUCACAUUUAAACGGUAUUCUUUAAACAUAAUACUCUCCGCAAAUAAUGCAAAAAUGAUUUGGAUCAUUUAUACAUACUCGACUUGAUGAUGCCAUUUCAAAUUGUAUUAAAAUAUUAAUAUUUUUUUUAUUGUGUGCAAAUUAAGACUGAAACUUAGCGAAUUUUGAGUGAAUGCUAUAAAUCGUAAACAAGAGCUGUUACAAAAAAAAUGAGGGUAUAUUUAGAAUCAGCGACAUCAAAUUAACAAACAUCAUGCAUCAAAAGUCAAUCAUCAGGCAAAAAUUGCAAUUUUGUUGUCCAGUGUAACCCACUCUAGAUUGACUGACAUCAAAUCUAAAACCUUGUAUGCAUUUUUGAACCAUCCAUGUCAUGUUUAAUAAACUUAAGUUAAUAAUAAA